UAAAAAAUUUUGGCGGUAUUUUAAGCUUAUUAGAGGAAUUUGCUCUGUGAUGGACACAACGCCUUAAUCUUACUUAAUUUAGUAAUUUAAAUCAGUUUGUAUACCACUAUAUUAAUUAUAUUGAAUAGUUAUAUUUAAAAUUUUUUUAAAAAAAUAUAUUAAGUCAAGGUGCAUCUAAUAAUUAUGAAUGAAGUGAAUUACAUCAAUUUUAAUGUAAUUUUUUACAUGAAAAAAUUAAUUAGGAUUUAAUAGUAAAAUACUAAUAUUAUGAGUAUUUGAAUCAAGCUCUAAAAUAUGCACAUAUCGCCCGUCGCUCUCAGAAGUGAGAUAAGUCGUAACAAAGUAAAAAUACUGGAAAGUGUUUUUUAAAAUGAAAUCAUUCGAUGUUUCAUUUACAAUGAAAAUUUUGUUGUUUAACCAUUUUAA
rnacentral:rRNA from 1 species